GCCCUAAUACCUCAGUUGGUUAGAGUGUGGUGCUGAUAAGGGCAAGGUUGCAAGUUCAAUCCCCUUUAUGGGACA